rnacentral:rRNA from 1 species
CCUUGUACACACCGCCCGUCAAGUCAUGAAAGUCGGUAACACCCGAAGCCAGUGGCCCAACCGCAAGGAGGGAGCUGUCGAAGGUGGGAUCGGUGAUUAGGAC